rnacentral:lncRNA from 1 species
AGCAAGGGAGUGUAAUUAGGUAGUGGAUUCAUCUUUUUUAUGUUCAUAUUCAUGAAUAAUGUAAAUUUACAUGAGACAUUGGGAGAAACUAACAAUUUCAGGUCAGUUUUCUUUAUUCUGUUCUUUUUAAUUUGAGAUAAUUAUUCAAUAUGAUACAUUAACUUAAACUAUAACUUGGGGUUCGACCACAAACUAUAACCUGGGUUGUGUUUGAAAUUAAGGUAACCUAAUUAAUUAAAACUUUUUUUUGGGUUAGAUAAUUAAUUAAAACUUUAAUGUCAGGUUAAUGGCACAAUAUCUUCGUCAAAACAGGAAAAAGAUGACACCCUCACCCUUGUGUCAUUCGUCAACUAUGGUGACACAUAAUUCAAUGAAAUUUUCACCAAAAAUUGCAAACUCUAACCUAAUACAGGGUAAAAAAGAGUGAAAAUGGGACUUGGUGUUAAAAAACUAAGUCGCAAAUUUCAACGACAUUUUUGUUGAUUUGGUUCGGGAUUUUGGGUUCGUUUCCAUGCCAAAUGACAGCUCGACGUCGUUCCAGUGCCAAGGACAAUUCUUUUUUGUGUUUUUGCCAAUUUGAUGACAAGUGGAAAGAAAAAUCAGAAUGUGUUUUUUCUAUUGGUAAUUUAAUUUAAUUUAAUUUAAAUUUUUUCGUUUUUAUCAGUUUUAGUUGUAAUUGUUUAUUGGAUUUCAGUUGUUUUACCCCCUGAAAUAGGACCCUUGUAUAAUUUAGGCUUAAAUGUCGAAAUAGUCCCUGUGUUCUACCUUAUCGGCCAAUUUAGC